GCGUGGGUGGUUUAGUGGUGUCAGUAAAAUCAUCCCCUGAAGAUCAUCAUCCAUCAUACUAACAACGCAAUAGAAAAUCCGUGCUUGCCAUGAACAACUUGCACGGGCCCCGAGUUCGAUUCUCGGUCCACGCA
rnacentral:tRNA from 1 species